rnacentral:rRNA from 1 species
AACGAACGCUGGCGGCAUGCCUAACACAUGCGAGUCGAACGAGACCUUCGGGUCUAGUGGCGCACGGGUGCGUAACGCGUGGGAACCUGCCCUUAGGUUCGGAAUAACUCCCCGAAAGGGGUGCUAAUACCGGAUAAUGUCUUCGGACCAAAGAUUUAUCGCCUUUGGAUGGGCCCGCGUUGGAUUAGCUAGUUGGUAGGGUAAAAGCCUACCAAGGCGACGAUCCAUAGCUGGUCUGAGAGGAUGAUCAGCUACACUGGGACUGAGACACGGCCCAGACUCCUACGGGAGGCAGCAGUGGGGAAUAUUGGACAAUGGGCGAAAGCCUGAUCCAGCAAUGCCGCGUGAGUGAUGAAGGCCUUAGGGUUGUAAAGCUCUUUUACCCGGGAUGAUAAUGACAGUACCGGGAGAAUAAGCUCCGGCUAACUCCGUG